rnacentral:rRNA from 1 species
AUUGAACGCUGGCGGCAGGCCUAACACAUGCAAGUCGAGCGGAUGAAGGGAGCUUGCUCCUGGAUUCAGCGGCGGACGGGUGAGUAAUGCCUAGGAAUCUGCCUGGUAGUGGGGGAUAACGUCCGGAAACGGGCGCUAAUACCGCAUACGUCCUGAGGGAGAAAGUGGGGGAUCUUCGGACCUCACGCUAUCAGAUGAGCCUAGGUCGGAUUAGCUAGUUGGUGGGGUAAAGGCCUACCAAGGCGACGAUCCGUAACUGGUCUGAGAGGAUGAUCAGUCACACUGGAACUGAGACACGGUCCAGACUCCUACGGGAGGCAGCAGUGGGGAAUAUUGGACAAUGGGCGAAAGCCUGAUCCAGCCAUGCCGCGUGUGUGAAGAAGGUCUUCGGAUUGUAAAGCACUUUAAGUUGGGAGGAAGGGCAGUAAGUUAAUACCUUGCUGUUUUGACGUUACCAACAGAAUAAGCGCCGGCUAACCUCGUG